rnacentral:rRNA from 1 species
UUAGGAAUAUUGGACAAUGGGCGCAAGCCUGAUCCAGCCAUGCCGCGUGAGUGAUGAAGGCCUUCGGGUUGUAAAACUCUUUAGCCGAUGAAUAUAAUGACUGUAGUCGGAGAAUAAGCCCCGGCUAACUUCGUGCCAGCAGCCGCGGUAAUACGAAGGGGGCGAGCGUUAUUCGGAAUCACUGGGCGUAAAGCGUGCGUAGGCUGUUCGGAAAGUCAGAAGUGAAAGCCCAAGGCUCAACCUUGGAAGCGCUUUUGAAACUACCGGACUCGGAUUUGGGAGAGGAUAGCGGAAUUGUCAGUGUAGCAGUGAAAUGCGUAGAUAUUGACAGGAACACCAGUGGCGCAAGCGGCUAUCUGGACCAACAUCGACGCUGAGGCACGAAAGCGUGGGGAUCAAACAGGAUUAGAUACCCGUGUAGUCC